rnacentral:Y_RNA from 1 species
GGUUGGUCUGAGUGUAGUGCUGUUUACAACUAAUUGAUCACAACCAGUUACAGAUUCCUUUGUUUGUUCACUCCCACUGCUUCACUUGACCAGCCUUAA